GACGAACGCUGGCGGCGUGCUUAACACAUGCAAGUCGAACGGAAAGGCCCUGCUUUUGUGGGGUGCUCGAGUGGCGAACGGGUGAGUAACACGUGAGUAACCUGCCCUUGACUUUGGGAUAACUUCAGGAAACUGGGGCUAAUACCGGAUAGGAGCUCCUGCUGCAUGGGGGGGGUUGGAAAGUUUCGGCGGUUGGGGAUGGACUAGCGGCUUAUCAGCUUGUUGGUGGGGUAGUGGCUUACCAAGUCUUUGACGGGUAGCCGGCCUGAGAGGGUGACCGGCCACAUUGGGACUGAGAUACGGCCCAGACUCCUACGGGAGGCAGCAGUGGGGAAUAUUGCACAAUGGGCGGAAGCCUGAUGCAGCAACGCCGCGUGCGGGAUGACGGCCUUCGGGUUGUAAACCGCUUUCGCCUGUGACGAAGCGUGAGUGACGGUAAUGGGUAAAGAAGCACCGGCUAACUACGUG
rnacentral:rRNA from 1 species